rnacentral:lncRNA from 10 species
ACCCUCAUGGAGGGUCUGUUUGUUGGGGGAAGACAGAUAAUAAACACAUACACAAAUAAACACAGCAGGCUGUAGUAAGUGCGCUUAAUACUGCAGGAGGAAUAGGAAGGGGUGCCCAAGGGGUGGAUGGGGGUGUGGUCAGGGAGGCCUUUAAUUAGGCAGCAUUUGAGCAGAAGCUGAAGGGAGUGAGGGAGCAGCCUUCCAGGCAGAGGGAACAGCACCUGCAAAGUCCCCAAGGCAGGAGUAGGCGCUAUAGGCCACUGUGGUCCAUGGGAAGUGGAUUUCUUUGGAGUUUGUUUUCAUGACAUUUUGAGUCAGAGGAGAGGCACAGCUGGUUCUGAGGACAUGGGGACCACAGUCAAUGGAGAUGUGUUUCAGCCCGUGCACCACCAGCGGGUCCAGCUACAAACCCAGUUGCCAAUACAGCCUAAGGACGAGCCUGCCCACAACUAUUCCAGUUCCAUUUGGCACAGCCAGGGGCAGGGACAGAAGGGCCCUGCAGGACUCCGCCUCCCCACCUCUGCACAGAUCCUCUCUCCUUUCCCCUAAUACUCCCAUCAUCCUCCUUUUAGCUUCUUAGAGGAAUCAGCAGCUCAGCUUAGCUUAGAUUUAGCUGAUCAAUCCCAAAGAAGGAUGUGGCUCAUCCUCUUGGCCAUCCCUGGAGUCGCAGCACACGCUUGGCUGGUGUGGGUCCACAGAGGUUCUCAUGGGUGGGCCCAGCAGAGGGGCCCCUCAGGAGAGGGAUUCUAGGGAGCUAGACUGAGACAAGCCUGGCCCUGACUGUCGCCUCCUGCCUUCUGGUCCUGGCCAUUCCUGCCCCUUUCUCUCUCCAGAGCUUGGGAGGAGUCAGAACAUUGCUCUAGCCGCUGGUGAUCUCUCCUGGUUGCCAACCCUCCUGGCCAUGACUGAUCUCCCCACUGAGAUGCUCAGGAGGCCAACGGUCCUGCUGAUGGCUACGCAGCCAUUGCCCAGGCUGACAGGCUGACCCAGGAGCCUGAGAGCAUCCGCAAGUGGCGAGAGGAGCAGAGGAAACGGCUGCAAGAGCUGGAUGCUGCAUCUAAGGUCACGGAACAGGAAUGGCGGGAGAAGGCCAAGAAGGACCUGGAGGAGUGGAACCAGCGCCAGAGUGAACAAGUAGAGAAGAACAAGAUCAACAACCGGGCAUCCGAGGAGGCUUUCGUGAAGGAAUCCAAGGAGGAGACCCCAGGCACAGAGUGGGAGAAGGUGGCCCAGCUAUGUGACUUCAACCCCAAGAGCAGCAAGCAGUGCAAAGAUGUGUCCCGCCUGCGCUCGGUGCUCAUGUCCCUGAAGCAGACGCCACUGUCCCGCUAGGUGCCUGCUAGGUGCAUGGCCACAGAGCAUGGGCUGGGCCUGGGCACAGGAGGAGCAGCUGCUUUGGUCGGGGUGGAGACUCGCAGCAGCUGCUACCCACAGCCUAUUCCACUCCUCCCCAUCUC